AUUGAACGCUGGCGGCAGGCCUAACACAUGCAAGUCGAGCGAGCGGCGGACGGGUGAGUAAUGUCUGGGAAACUGCCUGAUGGAGGGGGAUAACUACUGGAAACGGUAGCUAAUACCGCAUACCAUCAGAUGUGCCCAGAUGGGAUUAGCUAGUCGGGGGGGUAAGUGCUAACCUAGGCGACGAUCCCUAGCUGUGCUGAGAGGAUGACCCGCCACACUGGAACUGAUACACGGUCCAGACGCCUACGGGUGGCAGCAGUGGGGAAUAUUGCACAAUGGGCGCAACCCUGAUGCAGCCAUGCCGCGUGAGUGAAGAAGGCCUUCGGGUUGUAAAGCACUUUCAGCGGGGAGGCGUUACCCGCAGAAGAAUCACCGGCUAACUCCGUGCCAGCAGCCGCGGUAAUAC
rnacentral:rRNA from 1 species